UCUUUAUGAUAGUAUAUUUUAAUUCUUUUAAGUAAUAAGUUAAAUAAAAGAAUUAAGUAUUAGUCAUUUUACUGGGGCGGUAAUAAUAAAAAAUUAACUGUUAUAAAUUUGAACAAAUAUAUUUGUAAUCUAAAAGGUCUUAAAUAUAAAAAAAGAGUUUAAGUU
rnacentral:rRNA from 2 species